CAUGUAGACAGAGAAUGUUAGAUAUUUUGUAAAAUACUCUUCCUCCUUUUAAAAGCCAGGAUAAUAAAUUUUCCCCUAAAAUUCAACUGCUUAAUAUUUUGUCGAGUUAACAACUGUAUCAGUUUAUAUUAUCUCAGUCUAUACACGUAGAUGUGUUUUAUAAACUUUGCACGCAAGUCUCUAUAUGCCGAACACACAAGAAUAAAGUGGAACUCGUUCUCAAUAAUUGACUACAUACUUUGCAUAAACAAUUCAUUACUGAUACAUUCAGAAAACGACUAGUCUCAAUAUUACGUGAAUGUGCAGAUAGUCUAACUGUUGUAAUAGGCUUUCGGUAUAGAGGAGGGAUAUAUAAAGUCAAGAAAUACUAAUACUAUUUUUGUAAAUCUAGGUUUGUGAUUAUAUUAUUGUAAAUAACACACAUAUUUGCUACUGUUUUCCGACAAAGAAUAUAGUUCUUGUUGUUUUUAUAUCUAGUAUACGUUGUUUCAUAAGGGAAAAAGCGUUUCCAAAUGUCAGUUCACACUGCGAAGUCACAAUUCACCUAGUCAGAUAUGGUGCAAUUCAUCCUUACUCAGUUUUACCCAGUUCUUAAUCACAACUGUACCCUGUACAUACUUUGCAAACAGUUAAAGUAUUCCUACUAAAUACAACUGUAGGACAAUCGAAACAUUUCAAGUUUGACGAAUUUUGGAGACAGUCUAUUGUUGACGGCUUUUCAUAGUUAUUUGUGUUGUUGCGUUGAUGUCUCCUUGACGUAUCUUUCAUAUCUCCUUUUAUUCAUAAUAUGUAUUCGUCUCGAUUCUGUCAUGAUAACAAAACUUUGUAUCACCAGUUAUGACAAUGAUGUUAAAUGAUUUUUUUCUGUUGCGACGUGCCCUCAAUUUUUGCGCACUUAUUUUCAAAAGUAUUUGAUAACAAUUCCUGGACGUUAGAAUGAUUGCAACUUUUUAAGCCAGAUUAAUAUUGUGUUGUAUACACAUAUAUAAAGAAAAAUUAGUACAUUUCUAUAUAAAUAUUAGCAGUUAAAAAUAUCGAUUAACGAUAUUUAUAUUAUACUUAAAAACAUAUGAUUAUCUAGUACCCAGUCGACGAAAAGCUAAACGAAAAAACGAUUUCUUUUUACACAAACUUAAGAGGAUUUUAUCAUACGCACAUUAAUCUGGAAAACGAAUAAGAUGCAAGAAAUUAAAGGAAAGGUUUCAUGUAGCAUAUAGUUUCAACCUUUAUUUUUAAGUCGUUGAUGGAUUGCUGUAUCAUGGCGUGCUAUAUAUUGAAAGGAAUUAAAAGGAACUUGAUGUUGUGUUAAACGCUGUGUGACCCUCGUGUGAAGUAUACUUGAUUAUACAUUAUCAAGUAAAACAAUCUGUUGUGAUAUAAGAAAAGAUUUACAAAAUUAUGUUGCAGCUAGAAAAGCGUCAAAAAAGAGGAUGUGAUAUUAUUGCCAAUGAGACAAAUCUCCACAAGAGAAAACUGGCACAGAAAUGAACAACUAUAUGUCACCGAACAGCUUUCAACAAUGAGAAAAGCCCAUAUCGCAUAGUCAACUAUAACUUGAAGGCCCCGAAAUGACAAAUAUAAAACAAUUUAAACGGGGAACUAACGGCUAGCCAAUUACAGCGGGAAAAUCAUAAUAUUGUAUAUACAGAAGAAGAUAUACAAAU
rnacentral:lncRNA from 1 species